UAAAAAAAGGAUUCAUUUUCCAAUUUUAGACCCUUAAAUUUUGAAAAUUGAAGCUUUUGUCUCAAGUGAAAGUUGGGAAAUGACGAUCAACGGCGAAAGUUCGGUGUACGUGGGAGGACUUCCCUACGACGCCACCGAAAGCUCCAUUCGCCACGUCUUCAGCGUCUACGGUGCUGUCGUCGCCAUUAAGGGUUUCCUGAGAAAUCGAAGUUUCACAAUGUGGGUGGUCCGCAGAUUGUUAAUGAUCACACAACUAGAGGAUAAUGCUACGGCUUUGUUACUUUUACAAAUCCUCGUUCAGCUUAUGAUGCCAUCAACGAUAUGAACGGCAGGAAUAUUGAUGGCCGAGUUGUGAGAGUUAAUGAAGUGACCACCAGAGGGGCAGAUCAAAUUUUAGUCGUGACCGCCCUAGACAGAGUGAGUGGGAUGAGGGACAGGACAGAGAAAGAGAUCAUGAUCUUGAUAGAGAAAGGUAUCGUGAUCGAUUCAGUGAUAGGUCCAGGGAGCGGGAUUGGUCUCGGGGCCAUGAUUCUGGAAGAGAAAGAGGAUAUGAGCGACACGAACAUGAUAGAGCUGGGGAAUACUCAAUGGAUAGAGAUCACAAUAGAGAUGUGGAGGAUCAUAUGCAUGGAGAGAGCAGGAACUAUAAUCAGGAUUGGGAUAGGGAUCAUGAGCUGAAUUUGGAUGAAGAUAGCGAACCGGCUGGAACGAACGGUUAUCAUAGAAGUGUUGAUGAGGACAAGGAGCAACGAGUAAAGAGACGGAAUGGUUCUACGAGCAAUGAUCACGGCAGAGAACUGUCAACUGAUGACUACAAUCAGAUGAAAAAAGAACUGGAAAAAUCAAUUCAAAGCCGAGAAGAACUUAAAACAGAGAUCUGCUGCAUCUUUGAAAUUUUGUAUUGAUUUUUUGAGGAAAUUUGGUUUAGGAAGAUGGAUAUUAUAGCAUUUAGGUGUAGCCUAAUGCAUUAUUUAUGUUUGCAUAUGCACGCUUGUGUUAACAUUACCAUUGCAAUCACUAAAGUGAGAAUAUCACUAUCCAAGGUGUUUUUACGGAGUCCAACCACCCUUUGUUCUUUAGGAUCAGUUUUAUCCCCUUUCCCUCCAAGACUCAAAGAAAGACAUACAUGUGGUCUAUUGUGAAGUAGGAAUAGAUGAGUAAUCCAAGGUAUCUUAAUGAAACCUGAUGUAUUUUAUUUGGCCUUGUACAUUUUGUCUCAAAGAAGUUUAUACAUACAUACAUACAGACACUGGAAGAUGCAUUGGUUGCUGCAAAGAAGCUUUAUUCACGUCACAAAAUGCAUUUAGCCAAGCUGCAUAAGUGUUUCAUGCAAGUAAAGGAGUAUAGGGACAAACUUAAAGGCUAUGAACUGGAACUUCAGGUAUUGAACCAAAGGUAGCUCAAUAGUUAUUUAUGGCGAGUUUCCAAAUGAUGAUGAGACGAACUAGGGUCUCAGCCUCGAGUACCGAAGAUUAAAGCUCUUUAAAGAAUCAUUCAUGGGAGAAACAGUAGCACUCGUUAUAUUAACUCUAGACUUUACCUCGCAGUCCCUUGUUGAUUCAGCAAUGGUAGAGUGUGAAGAUGAUGUGGGUAUACGGGACGGCAGUUUGGUGAACGGGAUUGCAUGAUUUGUGUUUGUGGUUCAUUAAUCAUCUGACUUAUCACCUUUUGAUUGGACUACUUAAUCUUUAUGUAGAGAUAUAGCAUGAGUACUUUUGAUGUAUAUACUGAUAAAUUACAGAAUGUUGUUAUGCUUUAGUGUUCUUUGGGAAUGUAAUA